rnacentral:rRNA from 1 species
UACGGAGGGUGCAAGCGUUAUCCGGACUCACUGGGUUUAAAGGGUGCGUAGGUGGGCAGGUAAGUCAGUGGUGAAAUCUCUGGGCUUAACCCGGAAACUGCCGUUGAUACUAUCUGUCUUGAAUAUAGUGGAGGUGAGCGGAAUAUGUCAUGUAGCGGUGAAAUGCUUAGAUAUGACAUAGAACAUCGAUUGCGAAGGCAGCUCGCUACACUAUGAUUGACACUGAGGCACGAAAGCGUGGGGAUCAAACAGG